CAAUAGACAACUUUCGAGUUCGGUGCAUUUCCGUCAAAAACUCUGGUUUUAGUGAACGUCAUUUGUGCGUUUAGGGGCGUCGUCACUUCCAUUCCAAUGUUGAGCGAGUGGUUGGAAAACUAUAAUUCUAUAUUGUACGAAUUAUUCGGCAAAUUGAAUUCUCAAAAUUGACAAUCAGCAUUGCUGUCAUAGGAAAUUGUCAUAAUGUACCUACAGAACAACCAUUAUUUCUAGUUUAUCCUGCACAAUGACGAUCACUAAGACGCUUGAUGAACGUAAAUAGUGCAGGGAUACAGGCGACCCCCC
rnacentral:lncRNA from 1 species